GAAAACCUGGUCUUAAAAUUGAACACAACUUCUUUGUUUUUCCCUAGGAAUAAGGAAUGUUCACGAAGAUAUAUGCACCAGGAUGCUUUCCUUGGGGUCUUGUUGACAGAUGAUACAGCAAUUUCGACACUGUGCUGGCUUCGUGGAACACAACCCCUGCUGGGAUGGCUUUCACAGGAAAGCACCAGGGAAUGUGGAGCUGGGAGGGCUGGUAGGCAGCAGCUCCCACGCCGCCAGCUCUGCCUUUCUACUGACACAUCUCAUGUGCUGCCUGGUCUUCAUGGUCACAGCAUAGUUGCUGUGCUUCCAGGCAUCGCACCUGAGGUUCUCACAGGAAGAAGGGGCAGAGGCAAAAAACAAUCCUGCUAGAUCUAUCUAACAACAGUAUUCCCAGAAAGUCCUACUCGGCAGACUUCCACCACAUUUCAUGGCCACAACUAGCCAACGGUCACUCCUACUUACAAAAAAGGCUGGACAGUCAACACUCUUUGACUAGGAACCAAGACCAGGAUCAAAUGGGAAUGACAUGCCUGCUCCAGGCUCACCUCCCUCUGGAUGCCGCUGCUCUGCACAGUAAGAUGUCACUGGCUCUCAAGCGUGUGGAUGUGGUUUCCAUUUCCUGCGGGUUUGCCUGGCCGUGCUUCUCCGUCAGCACCACAGGCGCUCCAGUGCCUCCACGUCCAUUCUCACGUUCUCGUCUCAUGGCGUGCGCUGCCCACGUCUGGCCUGCUCAGCUCGCAUCCCACGCCCCUCACCCAUGUGCUUCCUCUGGUUACACACACACACACACACACACACACACAAGAAGUUCCCUUCCUCUUGGCAGCACUGGCCAGGACUCUGCUGCCAAACAGGAACCCCUGGGGCACCUGCAACCCAGUUUUCAGCCCCACUCCCGGUGAACCUGCCCUUGCUCCUUCCCACACCUGAGAAGUACACCUAGUUUCUCCAGUCUCAGAUCCUCCAGGCCCAUCCAGAUUUACCUGCUUCUCUGCCUUUCCUGCACCGACUGACAAUGUCAGCCAGGGCCACUGAGAAGGUGAGGAUUCCUUUGUCUCAGGAGGUCCCUGGGAUCCCCACCCUGGCAGGAAUUGAGCACCUCUGGUGAAUAUGCGGGCUGCCCUGCCUCGCCCUUGGCCUGGGUCCCUGCACUUGCAGUCCUGUGCCCACAAACUAAGAUUGGAGGGUGCUCCUGACACACUUCAGGUUGGCACCUGCUCACCUCUCAGAGGCUGAGGCCAGGUGUUAGGAGACAGGAGUGGCAGCCACACAGGACACUCGUGAGUCCCUUGACCAGAGAGGUCUUUGGGAAAUUAGAACUAUAUUUUUGGUAUAGGGAGCCUGGGUCCCAGCUGGUCAGAAAUCCAAGCCAACCCUACCCUAGGCAGGCUGGCCCAGGAAGAGGGCCUGAUAGCGGCAGACCUGCUGACGGUGUGGCCUUGGGGUACUCACGAACGGGGUCGGGACACUGUGUCUUUGAGAAAAACAUGCAAGUCAAUCCCAGCAUCACACACAAAGAAAAAAUAAAUGCCAAGUGUAGGGUAAGGAAAAAUGUCAGGCUUUUCUGCCCUCCCGCCAUCAGGAUAGAUGAUGGAUCUUUGCGGUCCUGAAUGCAUGCCUGAUGGCGGGCACCUGGAGUAGGGUGUGGGCCUAGGUAGAUGGGAUUCACCUGGGCUAAGAUCGGGCUUUUAAGGGCGGCGUCACGGGGGCGCCAGCAGAAGCCAAGAAGCUGAAGAGAAGCCAAGAGAGAAGCAAAGAAGCAGAAGCAGAGAACACCAGAGAGCCCAGAGAGAGUGCGUAUUUGCUGGGGGCUGGGAAGCCUGCCAGCCUCCCGGCCCCCCAGCACCCCUGCCUGCCGUGUACCUGGUAAUCCCAAUAAAAGCCUGCAAAA